UUUACUUAUUUAAUGAUCAUCAAUCACUACUUCUGUUAUUGUUGUGCACAUGACAAAUAAAGAACCAUGAACGAUUGUACACGUGACAGAUGUUUCAAUUCUGCAGAGACAUUGCAUUGAAUUUGCCUUGUUUAUUUUAAAAACACCAUCUGAUAGGAUCAUUUGAUAUGAUUAAUAGGCUCUCAACAAUAAGCCAACUAACAGGUUGCAAGCCUAAAAUCAGUCAAUCAACUUUUUCUUCUCAUAAUUCUAUAGCUGAAUUUUGAAUCAGAUAGAUACCUAGGUUCCCUCU